rnacentral:rRNA from 1 species
GAUGAACGCUGGCGGCGUGCCUAAUACAUGCAAGUCGAGCGAACAGACGAGGAGCUUGCUCCUCUGACGUUAGCGGCGGACGGGUGAGUAACACGUGGAUAACCUACCUAUAAGACUGGGAUAACUUCGGGAAACCGGAGCUAAUACCGGAUAAUAUAUUGAACCGCAUGGUUCAAUAGUGAAAGACGGUUUUGCUGUCACUUAUAGAUGGAUCCGCGCCGCAUUAGCUAGUUGGUAAGGUAACGGCUUACCAAGGCGACGAUGCGUAGCCGACCUGAGAGGGGGAUCGGCCAAGAUGGAACUGAGACACGGGCCAGACCCCUACGGGAGGCAGCAGGAGGGAAUCUUCCGAAAUGGGCGAAAGCCUGACGGAGCAACGCCGCGUGAGUGAUGAAGGUCUUCGGAUCGUAAAACUCUGUUAUUAGGGAAGAACAAAUAUGUAAGUAACGAUGCACGUCUUGACGGUACCUAAUCAGAAAGCCACGGCUAACUACGU